rnacentral:rRNA from 1 species
UAACACAUGCAAGUCGAACGGUAGCAGGAAGUGCUUGCACAUCGCUGACGAGUGGCGGACGGGUGAGUAAUGCUUGGGAACUUGCCUUUGCGAGGGGGAUAACAGUUGGAAACGACUGCUAAUACCGCAUAACGUCUACGGACCAAACGGGGCUUAGGCUCCGGCGCAGAGAGAGGCCCAAGUGAGAUUAGCUAGUUGGUGAGGUAAAGGCUCACCAAGGCGACGAUCUCUAGCUGUUCUGAGAGGAAGAUCAGCCACACUGGGACUGAGACACGGCCCAGACUCCUACGGGAGGCAGCAGUGGGGAACAUUGCACAAUGGGGGAAACCCUGAUGCAGCCAUG